CACGUAGGGUGCGAGCGUUGUCCGGAAUUAUUGGGCGUAAAGAGCUCGUAGGCGGUGUGUCGCGUCGGCCGUGAAAACCUGCAGCUUAACUGUGGGCGUGCGGUCGAUACGGGCAUCACUGGAGUUCGGCAGGGGAGAGUGGAAUUCCUGGUGUAGCGGUGAAAUGCGCAGAUAUCAGGAAGAACACCCGUGGCGAAGGCGGCUCUCUGGGACGGUACUGACGCUGAGACGCGAAAGCGUGGGGAGCGAACAGG
rnacentral:rRNA from 1 species